GUGUCAGCCGCCGCGGUAAUACGUAGGGGGCAAGCGUUGUCCGGAAUUAUUGGGCGUAAAGCGCGCGCAGGCGGUCUUUUAAGUCUGGGGUUUAAACGGAGGGCUCAACCCUUCGUCGCCUCGGAAACUGGGGGACUGGAGUGCAGGAGAGGGAAGCGGAAUUCCACGUGUAGCGGUGAAAUGCGUAGAGAUGUGGAGGAACACCAGUGGCGAAGGCGGCUUCCUGGCCUGUAACUGACGCUGAGGCGCGAAAGCGUGGGGAGCAAACAGGAUUAGAUACCCUGGUAGUCCACGCCGUAAACGAUGAGUGCUAGGUGUCGGGGGUUUCAAUACCCUCGGUGCCGAAGUCAACACAGUAAGCACUCCGCCUGGGGAGUACGCUCGCAAGAGUGAA
rnacentral:rRNA from 1 species